CUCCCAGAUGAAGAGUCCUCUCUGCCAUCACCCAGAGGAGCUGAUCGACAUCUUAAGAAGGUGGACAGAGUCUGGAGCUUUGUGAUAGUGAACAGUGAGAAGGCUACCAUAGUCAUCCUCAGAUAAAACACAGAGAUCCAGGUCAAUAUUUAAUUUAUUUUUCUUUCCAUGAUGUUGCCCUGUGUUUGACAGGCCAGAUGCUGGAGGGUUGUGUUGGAUUUGUUUUUCCAUCAUAGUUUAACAGUCAAACAAUCAUCCAGGAUCUUUAUACUUUAUUAGAUUUUUGUUUGGAUUUAUUUGUUAAAUUAUUUUUUAUACUUUCUCCUAUGUUCCAGCAGUUCAACCUGAUGGUCUCCCUUACUUAUUUUCCACAUGGUUAAUGAAGCCAGGGGUUGUUUAUUGAAGUUUUUUUUUUUUCAUAAAAUGUUUAAAUAAACUUUUUUUAAAUCUGAA